AAUCUUCACUUGGCAACCAUCGUAGUAGUAAUUGAUUUGGGUUGAAACUGGGUGAAGCAACUUUGAUAUGGAACAGGAUAUUUUUAUACUCUCAGAACAUCUCCCUAUGAAAUAUUUAUUCAUUACUCAUCACUUAACACGUACUAAAUACUGUUAACUUUCCAGUGGAGAAACCUGGCAGACAUCAUCUUAGCCAAGUGGUAAACAUUAACAUCAGCAGUAAUGGGACAAGUUGACAUUGUGUGACUCCUAAUAUGGUACACUGAGAAGAAUGUCGCAUCGUUUCUGUGGUAUUCCUGCCAGAGAUGCAUAAAUCAUGAGGACACAGCAGACAAAUCCAAACUGAAGACAACCUACAAAGUCAUUGACCUGUAUUUUUCAAAAAUCUUGGCCAGAGAAGGGAAGCCUGAAGAAUUGUUCUAGAAUAAAUUAGACUGAAGAGACUCCUUGAAGGCGACUGAAUUGGAUGCUGGGCCUGUAAAGAUGGAAUCUCACUCUGUUGCCCAGGCUGGAGUGCAAUGGCGUGAUCUUGGCUCACCGCAACCUUCGCCUCCCAGGUUCAAGUGAUCUUCCUGCCUCAGCCUCCCAAGUAGCUGGGAUUACAGAUGUGCACUACCAUGCCCGGCUAAUUUUUGUAUUUUUAGUAGAGACAGGGUUUUGCCAUGUUGGCCAGGCUGGUCUCAAACUCCUGACCUCAAGUGAUCUGCCCGCCUCAGCCUCCCCAAAGUGCUGGGAUUACAGGCGUGAGCCACCGCGCCCAGCCUAUAAUUUUGUAUCUUAUUGCCACAAAAGUCUGUUCUGUCAGUCUUAUGCUCUCUAUUUUAACAUCAAUGCUGGUCAGCUGUUGUGUCUAAACUACAAAGGGGACCUCCUGUCCUGCCAUGGCUGGAACUCCAUUCCUAAGUUUUUUCUGGUGUCCCCUUGGCCAAGGGGGGCAUCCAUUCAGUUGGUGGGGGACUUAGGAUUUUAUUUUUAGUUUACAGUAGGUAACUUUCGGUGGAGAAGGACGUCAUAAAGAAAUGUGAGAAAUAUUUACUUCUGAAUAGUGGAAAAACUACAUUAAAGUUGGUGGGGCACAGCUUAGCUGGGUUUUAGCAGCACUUACAGACAAAUUUAUAUAUUUAAGUACAUUUAGUGGAAAACAAUACAUGUAAAAAUAAACAAGCCCCCAAGAGAAUGCCAAUGAAAAGGAGCAAAAUACCGCCACAUGUUACAACAUAGAUUAAUCCUCAAUAACAUUAAGUGCACAAAAUGCCACAUAUUGUGGCAAGCCCAUGCCCACACCUGCCUUGGGAGGCCCUCUUCCUUUGGAAGACGGUUUUACUCAUUCAUUGCGUAAAUCAAUUUUUGUGAAAUGUCCAGGAAAGGCAAAUCUAUAUAUAAAGUAGAUUAGUGGUUGCCUAAGGCUGGGGGCAGGAAAGGGGAUAAACUGUAAAUGGGUGUGAUAUUUCUUUUUUGGGUGAUUGAAAUAUUCUAAAAUUGGGUUUUGAUGAUGGUUGCAUAACUUUGUAACUGUACUAAAAAUCAUUGAAUAGUAUCCUUAAAGCAGGUGAAUUUUA
rnacentral:lncRNA from 1 species